GAUGAAGAACGUAGCGAAAUGCGAUAAGUAAUGCGAAUUGCAGAAUUUCCGUGAGUCAUCGAAUCUUUGAACGCACAUUGCGCCCACUGGUAUUCCGGUGGGCAUGCCUGUUCGAGCGUCAUUAUCCUCCCUCAAACCUCGGGUUUGGUGUUGGACCCAAGUUGUGUGAACAACUGGUCUUAAAGACAGUGACGGCGUCCGUGGGACCCUCGGUGCAACGAGCUUUUAGGAGCACGCGUCGAGUUUCAAGGACCUUCCGGGCCGGUCUCCUUUACCAUUUUACAAGGUUGACCUCGGAUCAGGUAGGAAUACCCGCUGAACUUAAGCAUAUCAAUAAGCGGAGGA
rnacentral:misc_RNA from 1 species